AUGCUGGUCUGUCUGGAGCGGGGGCAGGUAGGGAAGAGUGGGAGAGGAGGAAGAAGAGGAGGAGACAGGGGCCGCCCUCUUAGCCCCAGGACACAGCUUCCAGGCACUCGCUCUCGCUGUCACACUGGACGUGGGCCCUCCCCAAGUCACCUCAUGUCAUGCCACAGCACCCAAGGCCACAGCCCAGCUCUGAAGAGGGAGGGAGAGGACAGGGCAGGAGGGAGGAGGCCACCAAAACACAGUCGGGCUGGGAACUUCCCCUCAGCCAGGGGCUGGUCCCAUGGCCUCAGUAAACAGGUUUCAAAACCAUUAGUCAGCACUUUGGCCCUCAGAUUUGCUGCCUCAGGUUCCUCGGUCCCAAACUGGGUCUCCAGGGUCUCAGACCCGGGCCAAGGCUGGGCCCCACCGCCAGGCCCACAGGCCAGGGGCAUUGGGGGAAGCUGGCCUCAGCUUUCUGGGCCAGCUAGGCCUGGGGUAGCCUCAUCAGCUGGGGGCCGGCCUCCCUCCUGCCUCCUGCCUGGGUGGCUGGCCCCAACUGCCAGCAAGAAGGAAUCUCCCUUGGCUCCUCCCCUCCCCCAGUCUGACGCAGGGAGACACUGGCCAAUGCCAGGCCACUGGAGUAAUGUCAACAAACAAUCGGUCGGCCCAGACAGGUGGUCCAGGCCGGCAGGAUAAGCCUGGGCCUGGGCUGGGGACAGGACUCACCUUCGGGACCACUGGGUCCAACACCUCUGGAGGGCCACAUAGUAGCCAGACCUCCCUCAGUGGAAAAGUGCUGGUGCCCGUGGCGAUUAGGGGGCCGGGGAAGGUGGGAGCUCUCCCAACAGGCCCAGAGGAAGCCCAGACACAAGAAAUGGACUGAGGGUGGGGUCUCCAAGGUCCCAUCAGGCCUCCAACACCCAUCCAACAAAUAGGGGUGCCCAGCUCCUUCCCCCAACACGAGAUGCUGGCCUAGAACAACCUACUCCUGACAGGGUCUCCAGCAGUUAGCUGGCCUGGGAACGGGAGUCACCAGGGCCUCAGGCUGCGCCGGGGCCAGCCUGGGGGGAGCACACCCCCUCCCCACCACAACCACAGCCCCAAGCCUUACCUGAAAGUCGUACAAAGCCACGAUGUUUUCAUGUUUCAAUUCCUAGGACAGAAAGCCAAGUUUCCGGUGAGUGAGGUGGACUCACCCACCACCCUCGCCCCUCUGGCUUCUGGUGUCGGCUCACCUUGAGGAUUUUUAUUUCUUUCCCUAGGAGAGUCUGAGACUUGGCGAGAUUCUUCUUAUUAAUGCACUUGACGGCGACCUCCAGGUCGUGUUUCUGAAAACGAAGCGUGGGUGUCCCUCAAGUGCCGAGAACCUGGCAACCCCUUGAAGGCCUUGCCCAAGCCAGGUAAGCACCUGGCAGGUCCCUGGAGAUGACCGGUCAGGAGCGUAUGAGAGGGAUAUGGUCCCGGGGCUGUGGGGUGGAGAUGAGGGGACGCCUGGCUAUGUACGUGUGGGGCCCCCGGCGGGAUGAGGGGGAUCUCCGGGAUGUGGAGGUGGGGACGGGGGGGAGUGCCCGGGGGGAGGGAUAAGGGGGUCCCUGGAGCGGAAGGGGGGGGCCCCCGGGGCGGGGGGGGGCCCCCCCCCCCGCGCAACGGCUGGAGGAGCCCUGCACUAGCCCUUUCCUUCGCUCACACAGAGCUCUUCCUGCUGGAGCCCUUGGCAGUGUGCAAGCCACCGUCCCC
rnacentral:lncRNA from 1 species